rnacentral:rRNA from 1 species
GUGGCCCAGAUCGUUUACCGUGAAAAAAUUAGAGUGUUCAAAGCAGGCAGAUCCAAUUUUCUGCCACCGAAUACAUUAGCAUGGGAUAAUGGAAUAGGACCCUGUCCUCCUAUUUUCAGUUGGUUUUGGCAGCGCGAGGACUAGGGUAAUGAUUAAUAGGGAUAGUUGGGGGCAUUAAUAUUUAAUUGUCAGAGGUGAAAUUCUUGGAUUUAUGAAAGAUUAACUUCUGCGAAAGCAUCUGCCAAGGAUGUUUUCAUUAAUCAAGAACGAAAGUUAGGGGAUCGAAGACGAUCAGAUACCGUCGUAGUCUUAACCAUAAACGAUGCCGACCAGCGAUUAGGAGACGUUGAAUACAAAACACCACCAUCGGCGCGGUCGUCCCUGGCUCGUCGUCUCACGACGGCGGGCGGGGGCGGCUUAGCCCGAUGGCACCGGUGAAUGACUCCCCUAGCAGCUUGUGAGA